rnacentral:rRNA from 1 species
UACGAAUGGGGCAAGCGUUGUUCGGAAUCACUGGGCUUAAAGCGUGCGCAGGCGGACGAGAAAGUCAGAAGUGAAAUCCCCGGGCUCAACCAGGGAACUGCUUUUGAAACUCCUUGUCUAGAAUCCUGGAGAGGUGAGGGGAAUUCUGAGUGUAGAGGUGAAAUGCGUAGAUAUUCGGAGGAACACCAGUGGCGAAGGCGGCUCACUGGACUGGUAUUGACGCUGAAGCCCGAAAGCGUGGGGAGCAAACAUG